CAGCUCUGCCACUGUGUGACUGGGGAGGAAGUGCACAUUGAGGAGGAUCAGGGCAAUGGCUAAAUUGAUGUGGACCUUCAUGGAGACGUCUGUCCUGAUUGUUCUGUCAAACAGAGGAGAAAUGAUCUGUGUUCCUCUUUAUGAUGAAAAAGGCCAAGCCUACCAUGAGCACACCAAAGUAUGUGAGGUGGUCACAGGAGCAGGUGACGUGAUCCUGACUGUUAUCCCACAGGGUUUCACAACCAUAGCUGCUAUAUUCUGGGUCUGCACACUUCAAGGACCACCCUUUGCGGUCUCAUCAAAGGAGAGUCCUUCCAAGAGCCCUGCAGGCCGAGUCAGCCGUUGUGAAAUGGGACGGUCUAGCCUUUGGAGCAUUUCCUGGUUGCUUCACCAGAUGUUCCCACCCCUACCCUGACAUUGCAGCCAUCGAUCAAGUCAGAGCAAACCCAGCUGAUGGACGAUGUGGUGAACGGUGGAGACUGGACCCCCAGACACCCUGAGUACCGACCCAGAUGAUGUCCCGCUGACACCAGGGUCUUUAUUGUGGCAUCCCAUCCAGCCCAGCAGCUCUGCCAGGGACUCCUGCUCAGCCUCUUACUGUACAUCAUUUGUAACUGUUUUAAUAUUGUUUUUAAUAAUUGUUUUUGUUAAUAGCGAAUGAUAGGCUUGACAUCCAAAGGCAUCAAGCUGAGCAUUACCAAUGUAUUUUAACAGAAAUGUUGAGGUUUUAAUGUCCCUCGAAGUUUAACAUAUCUGGUGUUGGGUGUUCAAAUAAGUAAAAACCGAGUAUAAACCCAAUACUUACAUUUAAAUGUGAGAUCUGCGCCACUUGAGGUUAUUUCUUUCUUUCUGCUCUUUGGGCAUGCAAUGAAUCUUGGCAUAUGUGAGGCCACGAAGGGUAGUAGUCAAAAAACAGGUAAAAGCAGGGCGCAUUUGUGGGGUGCAUUUGGAAGACUCUUUGAAUUGGGGCACCCUUCGCGUGGCAUGGUGAUUGUGCAGACCCUGAAUUGGGACACAGCCUUCAUGUGAAUUGGAUGAUGUUUGUAUGACUUCCUGUGUCCAGUGGGUGGCACUAUAGACAUGACACAGUAUUGAUGCAUAGACAUAUUCAGGGCAACACCCUCUACAUGUUCGAGCAGUUUGGUGUUGAUUGGAAAUUGUAUGUUGAAGUUAUAAGCACUUCCACCUUCAUGGCGAAACAUCGAGAUGGACUGCGCCAUCAUCCCCACCAGGCCCGACCAGGUAUGACGUAUUCAAAAGUUUUCGACAUCUUUUCAUCCUCAAAGUCUGAGGAUGAAGCUGAAAGAAUGUGAAGUCUGUGAUGUUACAUCUGAAGGAGGAGUUCAUUAAAGUAUGAGGCAUGGAAAUGGGUCAAAAUUGUGGUGGAGGUGAGCCUUGGUUGAGGCGCGGUUGCAGGGAGAGGGAGAGGGGUCAGGAGAGCAGCGUCAGGUAAGUCAUUGGCAGAGCUGGCACAAAUCACUCUCUUCAUUUAUAUGCAGUAGUGUGCUGGACCUCAGAUGCAGGAAGCCUGGGAGAUGCUCAGGAGAGAGGCCAGGAUGCGAGACGCACAACGUACGGUAUUCCAGUUAGGAUUCAAGGGGGUGUACAUCAGGCAAUGGUGGAUUCGGGCUGUAUGCAGGCUAUAAUACACCUGAACAUGGAACGACCUGGGGCUUUGGUGGAGGCAUUUUCGGUGGAGAUAAGGUGUGUGCAUGGGAAUAUUCACAGCCAUCCUGUGGUUUUUUCCAUGGGGGAAAAACAUAGUGUUAAGGCUGCGAUCAGCUCCCGUCUGAUGCACCCUCUAAUUUUGGGCACGGUUUGGCCGGGGUUUUAUAAGUUAGUGGGGCAGUGUGUGGCGGUGCAUUCAUGACCGGUAGGGACACAGGAUAUGUGUGCGGUGUUCAGUGGUGACGCGAGGUUGUCCGACUCCGCAGACGGGGAGGAGGAACCGGCAGGGCCUUCACAGGAGGCUCCGCAGGUUCCCUUGUUACACUCCAUAGAAGAUUUUCUACUUGAACAGUCUCGUGAUGGUACUCUACACUUUGCCUUGGACCAAGUGAUAAAAAUCGAUGGUCAUUUGGUGCGCCCUGAUGCCACACAGACAUAUCCACAGUUUACAUUGAUUAUGGAUUGAUUGUAUAGAGAGAGUUGUCACACUCAGAUGGUAAAGGAAUUACCCAGUUACUGGUACCAAAAAGCCACCGAGAAGCUGCUUUCCAGGUGGCUUAUUAUAACCCAAUGGCUGGGUGCAUGGGGGGUGACAAAACACUAGACGGGAAAACGGCCCAAUGCUAUUGGCCUGGCAUUCGGGGAGAAGUACACCACUGGUGUGCAUCUUACUCGUACUUGAGGACAUGGGAAUGAAACUCAUCAAUCAACUUUCUUUCACCACAGUUGCCCUCCCUACCUUUGAUCAUUGCACUUAAUGCUAAAUUUACAAGGAGGCAUGAUUAAUUUCAAAUUUGCCACAGUUGUUAAGCAACAUUUUUUAAGUUUCUCCUAACCUGGUUAGAUUGCACUUCAGUGAACCACAUGACAGAAUCAGAUAGUUAGUUAUCCAUUAUGCCUCUGUUGUGACUUCUUCUUUUUGUUUUGCCGAGGAUGUCAUUUAAGUUUGUGAUCCAUCAAUGUGGCCAUGGCCACACGUCUGUACACAAUGCUAAAAGAAUGGGCUCACAUGCAUUUCAGACCACCUCCAAAUUUGGUCUUAGUGAUCAGAUCUAAAAUGUGUCUUGGUUGCAUUCAAAUCUGUACUGACAUUUGUAAACUUGUGAUCAGAUAACUCAAGAUAGAUUUGCAACAUUUCACAGUGUUCCUCUUUUUAAUUACCAAGCCCCAUUGGAACUUCAGCUGUUUGGUUCAUUUCCAAAUGAAUAUGAUAUGUAAUAUCAGUGUAAAUACAAAGUUAACCAGGCCCAAGUAAGUUUCGGCACCUACAUCCUGUGACAUAUAACACACAUUUGUUUUUCACACUCUGAUUUAAAUUUCCUGUAUCUGGGUGGGAGGCAUAUUUAUAACACUCUGAAUGGGAGGCUUGUUUGCAGUACAAGGUCAGAACAUCAAUUUUUGUAUCUUUGUAAACAAGCCAAUGAAUAAAAAUGUUUAGUAUCAUAGUCAAGGUCAUUCAGAAAUUUAAAGCAGUUAACUCCUGCAUGUUAUAGUUGUUUUUUUUAAAUUUACUUUCAAUACUUCUAUUAAACAUUUUUUUAUUCAGUAGCUUAUUUACAAAGAAAAAAAAAAAAUAUCGUCUGACCUUGUACUGCAAACAAGCCUCCCAUUCAAAAUGUUGUAGAUAUGUUGUAGAUCCGACUAGGAUUUAAUAGAAUAGUAUAAGGUUUAUAAUGUAUGUAAAAUUGAUAUAUACUUAUUUGAACUAUAGCUUUAGAUUAUUGUCUUUAAAAACAACAUAAGAAAUGUAGUCUCUGACCCCAUUUGUUUCAGGCCAGGUGAGCAUACAGAACACAAUCGUGUUGUCUGAUCCGACACCCAACUCUCUCGGCAGUUGAAUUCUCACUUUGCUGUUGUUGACAGCCAUGGCUGACAUUGCCUACAUCAAAGGCACAAAGCAAAAACAGGAAGAGGAUUAAAAAACAUGCAAAAAAUGCCACUCCUACAGCUACAUGAGUGUCAAUGCACACUGCAUAAUACAUUCAUGAUGCAUGCUCAGUCUUGUCAGUUGCAUCACACCCUGAUUUUUACACAAACGCAUCAUGUGGAGUGGAUUUCAAAUAGGCAGUGUGUUAUCGUUUUGGAACUAACACAAAGCACAGCUGAGGCUGAUGUGAAUCUGUAAAGCAGGCAUUUUAGGGACAAUCUUAUUUCUUUUCUCCUGAUGGUGCUGCUAGAGGCAAUGUUAGGAGAUCAGCAAAGUCAUUUGAUUGCACCCUUUGGGAAGCAUGAAUGACUGUAGCAAAAUUCAGUUACUGAGUUAAGUGACAUAUGCCGCUGACAGAGGAUCACCAAAGUCAUGAGGAUGCAUGGUCUGCUCACCAUGACUGUCUGUACAAAAGUUGAUGUAUUCAUGCCAACCCAUCCAGAAAUAAUCAAUAAAUGCGCAGUUUGGACCAAUGUGCAAAGCAUGCAUUGCAGACAAUACCAUAGCUUAAGUUAUUCUGCUAACACGGCAAUAAAAAAGAAGGAGAAAUAAAGGCUACCAGGAAGU